AGCAGCCGCGGUAAUUCCAGCUCCAAUAGCGUAUAUUAAAGUUGUUGCAGUUAAAAAGCUCGUAGUUGAAUUUCGAGACCGGUUUACUGGUCGUGCUUUUGUACGUACUGGUAUUAUUGGUUUCUCCUUUCUGACGAAUCUUAAUGCCAUUAAUUUGGUGUUUUGGGGAAUCAGGACUGUUACUUUGAAAAAAUUAGAGUGUUUAAAGCAGGCUCACGCUUGAAUACAUUAGCAUGGAAUAACGAAAUAGGACGUUUGAUUUUAUUUUGUUGGUUUCUAGGAUCGACGUAAUGAUUAAUAGGGAUAGUUGGGGGCAUUAGUAUUCAAUUGUCAGAGGUGAAAUUCUUGGAUUUAUUGAAGGCUAACUACUGCGAAAGCAUUUGCCAAGGAUGUUUUCAUUAAUCAAGAACGAAAGUUAGGGGAUCGAAGACGAUCAGAUACCGUCGUAGU
rnacentral:rRNA from 1 species